rnacentral:lncRNA from 1 species
GGGAGAGCUUGGGGACCAGGUCUGCUCCCAGGUCAUGUUCCCUGUGACUUCCUUCUUCCAAUCAGGUUCCAUUGCCACCUCACAACAACGUCAUUAAAUUACAAAUCCGUCAGGGGAUUAAGUCACCAGCGAAGGCAGAGUCUGUCCUAAGGUUCCAGGCUUCUCAUCAAAGCCCCAGAUCUCAAUGCUGCUGCUGGAGCAUCCAAACAGUCAGCACAUGAGCUUUGAAGAGACACGUCAUAUCCGAACCAGGACAGAGUCACAGGCAGCAAACACCGUGGUCCUCAGUGUAUCUGCCUCUGGUUUCUUCGGAGGAUUGGGUUACAGAAUUCAUCCUGUGUUUGCCAGGUCUCAUCUCUGUCACAUGUUAAGCCACCCCUCCUUUGCGCUCCCACCUCAUACUGCCAGAGCCUUUUGUGCUCCAAGUGUGCCCCUUUCCAGCAGCUCUUCUCAGAGGCUGGUCCCCUGGCCUUGCCUUCCCCUGGCUCAGCCAUUCUAGGGGUGAUGAGGUAGUUGAGUCCCAGGACUAUGUUUAUAUUUCUGAAGUCCAAGCCACACAAGUAGUGAACAGCUGGCCGUCAAGAGGCUGAAGGGUCUCAAGCAGCCCAGCUGCUCCUCACCCAUCACGUCCUCCUGGAGAACUGGGAGGCAGAGCUACCGGAAACUGGUUGUUAACCCUGAGUCUUCCCUCUGAGCAUGGUGCUCUUUGAAGUUUCUGGACUCAGAGAUGGUCUGUGGGGCUGAUUCUCUGGGGAAUGGGGAUGGAGGUGGGAGCUCUGAUUGGAAAGAACAAGGAGAGAUAUGACGUAAACUGUGAAUGGUCUGGGAGAGA